rnacentral:rRNA from 1 species
UCCUGGAUUCUGCAGCGGAAAGUUUAGUGAACCUUAUCACUUAGAGGAAGGAGAAGUCGUAACAAGGUUUCCGUAGGUGAACCUGCGGAAGGAUCAUUC